ACACACUGGAAACCACACUGGACACCACACUGGGCCCAACACUGCACACCAGAGGGGAGGCCAAGCCCAUAAGAGGAGGCAGUGCCUCUUCUUAUCUGCAAAGUUCAAUAGAAUACAUCUGUUUCCUAGAAGCUUUUCUUUUUAAAAAUACGUACAUAGUAUUCACGUAAGGUUUACACAACACAGAAUCACACACACCUAUAAGCUAUUUUAAAUAUUAACUAUCUCAUUAGGCAAAUUUUUGUAAUAAGACACAUUGUAACUAUGAGAAUAAACUCUAAUGCGUCUCCAAAUUUAUAUUAAUCAUAAGAAGGUUUUACCAAGUAAUCUAAGUCAUGUUUACGGGGUUGGGAGCAUCUUUGAUUUUAUGCACUGUAUCUUAUGUAGGCACGUGUUCCAAGAAAAUUAAGAAAAAUUGUUAAUUAAAAAUAUUUUUAAAGGAAUUUGCUUUCCUAUAUUAAGCAUUAAAACUAAUAACAAAAUACUUCCAUGUGUUCGAUAAAAAAAUUACUUUAAGUCUAUGAGUUUGCAACUUCCUAUCACUUAAUAGGCUUAAGCCAUUUAAGAAUUUGGAUUGGCAAUUUUACAUUGAGGAUGGCAGCUCAGAGAACGGAUCACAACUUGGGUGUUCAAGUACUCCAUCAGAAAGUCGAUACGCUCAAACAAUUUGGGAGCAAAAUAACCAUGAUACCUACAAUUUUGACAUUUAUGAUAAUUAACUGCAGCUUUUGAGAAGGAAAAACUGCUUAUUGCCUAUGUUAUAUGGUACGUGCUGAACAAAGUGGAACCGCCCUUAAAUGACCAGCUGGCAUCACGCUGCUUCCACACUACUACCACACUCUGAUGCGUACAGCAGCUCUGCACACCCAGAACCUGCAACUAUUACAGUGGCGCCAACUUUGAGCACAGGUAAAGUUCAACAAACUAAAGGGGAGUUUUGUCCUUUUCAAAGAGUGGCUGGCUCCUAAUCCUUGUGAAACACUGUUUCACAGAAAUUGCAAACUCUUACCCCUCCAAGAGUGCUGAGUCUGUGGGCAAAAAACUGUCUGGAACGAUCCAGUGGGAAAUGUGCAAAGUGAUCUGUGCUACACAACCUUAAAAUGAACACAGAUCAACAACAUGGUUCCUCAAGGAAUCUCCUUCUGCUUGGUCACAAAUAUCACAGGUUUCAAGCAGCUCAGCAUAGCCAGAAAAUAUAACCAAAUUCAAAACUUAAAGUUAAAAUUUGCAGGUGAAAUUUCACCUCUAAGUAACUCAAGCUAUAAGUAAAAAUUAAUUAUUUACAACUCGGUGGUGGGUCAAGUUUUGUGUUUUUUAAAAAAUAUAGACAUGCCAACACUAUUUUAGCAGUAAGUACAGUACAUGAGAACAUGGACAAGUAACCAAGACUAUAUCUUGACCCUUUCCAGUACUAGCUAUAUUUAUUUUUUGAAUGAAGAUUUGAACUCACUUUUGAUCUUAAUACACAUCUUUUCCUUUUAGUACAUAUUUUCCCUUUUUAAUACACAAGUCUUUAAAUACUUACGGCUAGUUUCAAUAUUUACAUAAAUUUACAUUUCAUAUUUGCACACAUUUAUCAUUGAAAAUAGUGCUCUAAAUCAGUGUAAGUAUGUUUAGAUAAACUGUCCAAGAAUAACCAUUAAUAUUCAGACAGAGAUUCUGAAAAAAUUAUAAUUUAUAAGCUUCUAAUUUUUAUAUUUAGUAUUCUGUUUCUAUCUUUGAUUCUAAGCUAUAUUUUCUUUGUCACUUUUGAUGUCUCCUUACAAAAUACCAGGUACUUUCUGAUAAUAUAGAAACAGAUUAUAUAUUUUAAAAAUCCUCCAGGGUUCUAAAAAAGCUACUUUUAUCUGUUUGUUGUUUGAUAAAUAUUACAAUUAAAUGUAGCAUAAAACUGUAACUAUAAAAUACAUAAAAUACCUGGCAGAAAAGUAACAAUUGAAUUAUUUUACUGUACAAAUUUGAAUACUUUGACAUUCAAAAAAAUUUCAAUUGCCAGAAUAUAUGUACAACGUACAUAAACUAAGGAAAGUGACAUCUAUUAAAAAUGAUACAUAACCGAAUUUCGAGUGAUCAAUUUUAGGGGUCAUUUACAACCUGCUGGUGGAAUCUAGUCAAGGCAGUAUCUAAAAGUUUAUUUUUAAUCCUCCCAUUAGGAGCAGAGCGAUAAACACAGUCAGCUGUCUGUCUGACUCAGCUUUCAGCAGACGUGCAGUUACCCCUGCUGGCCUCACUCAGAGACAGUCAAGACCGCCACGUGCUGUGAUUUCGGCUACGACAAGGAAGGCCACAAAGAUGGGCAUAAAAUAACCGUGGUGGUGCCCACGUCACUCGUCAGCAUUGUAAGGCAUUGUCCCAGAAGGCGUCUGGGGACAGGGAGGAAAGAGGACCUGACAAAUCCACCUGGGACCCACAGCUCCGAGAUUGGUUAUGGAUUAUUUUCGUCGACAAUUCCAACCACAAAACCUAGGACUGGUUCCAUAGUGGAAGAUCAACUCUCCUCAAGUGCCAAAGAGCCAGUCACUAAUUCACCAGCCAAUACCAGCAAGUGCCAACUGUGUCAGCUCUAUAUCUGAACGCAGGGAUGUGGCCCUGAACUGAAACAGCCCGAAGCCUACUCUCAGGGAGGAUGCCCUCGACCAGGAGGAGAAGCACAAACGUAAGUGGAAGACGUAAAAUGCAGCCCAGACAAGUGCUCUGAAGGAGAGGCUCCGCGGGCAGAGGACAAGUCCUCUGCACAGCCCAGUGCUGCAGUUUCUCCCUUUACUUCCACUACCCGGAUUAAGCCAGAAAACGGAGACUUCCACUCUCUUGCAAAAAAUGAGCAUUAUGUGGACACGUUUUCCACAUACAUUAAAUUCUUGAUGACAGACUGAUUUAUUGGAAUUUUUCUUGUUUCCUCUCUAUUUCUCUCCAGGAAACAUCCCACUCAAAACAAGCUACUCUUUCUGAGUCCGUGGCUGUCAACAUCGACUGCACAUUGGAAUUAUCUGGAGGGCUUUACAAAGCCCAGGUGCCACCUCUAGAGAUUCUAGUGGAAUGGGUGCAGCCUGGAAAUCAAGAUUUAAAACCUAAUGUGCAGCCAAGAUUGGGAAGCACUGCUCUAUGCACAUACUGCUUUCUAGAAAUCCAAACACCCGAUGAAGGAAAAAAUUACAUCAGCUGGUUUAUUGUACACACGAUUGGUUAAUAAAGAAUAUUCUAGAUAUAAACGUUAUUCAUCGGUGAAGUUUUACUUUAUACAUUUCUUUCUUCUAAUUUUCCAUAAUUCAGUAAAUCAUAUUGAUUUUAAUAUACCCUCCCUAAGAUAAUCAGAUAAAAGUUGAAGAAAUCAAUUCAAAUGUAGUUACCUUAGGGGAUAUGUGUUGAAAAAAUGUUCUUUGAACAUUACAUCAAAUAACGAAAAGGAAAAACUAUCAAUAAGGAAUUGGUUAAAUAAACAUUGUUACAUGCACAUGGCGGGAUAACAUUAAAAAUAAUAAGGUUAUUCUAUGCAUUCCUUUUUUUCUUUUCAAAGAUGGGCACCUGAGC